GGAUAGAAAAGUAGAUAAUAUUAACCUUCAAUUGAGGGAGAAAUUGAAAGAAGAGAGAGAGAUACAGGAGAGAGGAGAAAAGAGAAAGAAGAUAAUCAGAGAUAUGUGGGUGUGCAAUUGGGAGUAUAGAAUGAGAAAGAGGUAGAAGGUGAAAGAAAAUUAGGGAUGGGUGGGUAUGAGAGGGGGGUAGAUUGAAGUAGGAUAAAGUCAAUAAAUAGAGAGAAAUGGAGAUCAUGAGGGAGAGAGAGAGAGAGAUGUGCUGGUUGGUGAGAUAGUGAGCAAUGAUAAUGGUGGCAAAUUCUGAUAGCAACCUUGAUGAAAUAAGGCAAUGGAGAAAAAAUAAUAGAGGGGAGG
rnacentral:lncRNA from 1 species